CUCUCCUCUUCCUGCAACCUCUUCUCCUCUUUCCUUCCUCCUCUCUUUGGAAUUAAGUGUGCAAAAGGUGUAUUGGUGUCUAAUAUUGUGAACGGAAAAGAAAGGGAAGGAUGGAGGGGGGAUCCUUGAGACUCAAGCAGAGCUGAUUGUCUCCUCUGCAUCUUCUCAGGAGCUCACAGGCUUCCUGCUCAUUGUACUCAAGGGAGAGCAGGAAAGAGCAGGGUGCUGUCUGUCUGUCUGUGGUUGAUCUGAGGGUCUAGUGCUGAGGGAGAGAAACUUGUCACAGAGCCUGGCACUUUCCAGAAGAAUUCCCUUAAAUCCCUGCCCCCAACUCCAACUCUAACUUCAGCCAGAGAGAGAGGAGAGAGAGAGAGGACAGAGAGAGGAGAGAGAGAGAGCCUGUUCUGGAGUCGCAUUUCCAGACUGACCUCUGCCUUUUCCACACACAUUCUGGCACUCACCUGCGGCAGUCAGGCUUUGAGCCAGGCUCGGGAGACUCCACUUCGUAGCCUCACAUUCAGCCCUACACCCCGUGGGCCUUGGGCCAGGCAACCAGAGUCACUUUCCAGGCACUGGGGGAGGCUGCACAAUAAGGAAGAGCUAAACAGGCUGAGGAAGCUGAGACAUAGAGAAGACAACAAAUUUUCUGGAGUUCUCACAGUUGGGCUAUGGAAGAAGAAAGAAUUCAAAACCAGAUUGGGUGGCUCCAGAGUUCUGAAUUGAUCUCCCUAGGAGAAUUUUAUCCCUCUUCAUCCUUCUUGGACACUACAGUCAAGAAGGACUGACCACCCUGCUACAAUAGAUUGGAGAAUCCCUCAGAUCAGCAGGCCUGAGUAAAACCUCACUGCCAUCAAAGCACCAAAAAUGUGGGCAAAGAUAGCUUGGACUCUACCAGACCAUCUGCCAGCUGACACCAUUGAGUAACAUCCAUUGAUAUUGUGAGGAAGAAAUAAAUCAUCCAGCAGAUCUUGCCCCAAGUGCCCAACCCACAAAAUUGGGCAGGGG
rnacentral:lncRNA from 1 species